CCACCCAACCCACGUCAUCGAUUUGAAACAUAGAACAUCUGUUAGAGUGACAAGAAGGAGUGAGUUUCCGAGUCCAUAUUGACAAUUAGCAUUGUCUUUCCCCCAUUACUAUAUCUCAGGCAUGGGCAAACUUGGGCCAUCCAGGUGUUUUGGACUUCAACUCCCACAAUUCAUAACAGCCGUUUUCUCCUGAGGAGCCCUUGUCAGUUCUGUUUCUGCCAUGGACUAAAGUAAGCCCAACCUACCCCUGCAGCAAAUUUUGGAUAGGCAAUUCUGAACUAAUUGAAUUAAUCUCACCCUUUUCAGACUUCAGACAAAAGCAUGAUAUUUUGAAAUGGUUCCUCCAAAUAUAACUCUGCCUAUAAAUAGAAAACCAAUAAAGAGUGUUAUGAAAACUUUUCCUCUCUCUAUGCAGGAAAGGUGUUAUCGGGGUGGAGCAACUGAAAGUGGUAUUUCACCACUCCUUGCAGUCUGAAGAGAUAUUUGAUUGUCUACUGUACUUCAGCUGUACAGUGGACAAAAUAUACUGUAUAUGGUCUUCCUAAAGAAAAAUAGAUGUAGACUGUUAUUCCCAGUCUCUGGAUAUACAUUUGACCAGAGAGAAAUUGCUAUUUUUGUCCAUAUGCCCAACCAUUCAAAUUGGGAUACUUUCCCUUUAUUUUUGACAUCUUUUUUUUUCUCAUGUGUUCCUAAGGCAUGUAUUUGUGAUAUAGUGAAGGAAUGAAAGAGGCCCUUGUAGGGGGAAAAUGGUAGCGGGGAGGAGUUAAAAAACCAUUCAUUCACAGAUAGAUUAUCAUUAAAGCCUACGCCUUCUACCUUUUGGAUUACUAAAAAGUGUUGAGGGAAGGCCAUUUACAGUAGAGAAUCAAUGUGUAGGCUUUUAAGCAGAGGCUGGAUGGCCAUCUGUCGGGGGUGCUUUGAAUGUGAUUUCCUGCUUCUUAGCAGGGGGUUGGACUGGAUGGCCCAUGAGGUCUCUUCCAACUCUACUAUUCUAUGAUUCUAUGAUUCUAUGUGUAGGGAAGAAUCAAGCCAUCUCUGUGUUUACAUUAUGAGAAAAAUGCUGGUUAUUCCUUAUAAUGCAUAAUCACCACUCUCUGAAAAACCUGGAUUUUAAGGUUUGUUUUGGUUGUAGAAUAUCCCAGAUUUAUUUUAUUUAUUUUAUUUUAUUAUUCCAUCUUUCUCCUAAUAUAAGGACUCAAGGUGGCUUACAAUAAACAUAAACAGUGCAAAUCAGGACAAUGUAAAUGCAUGAUAAUGCUCUACAAUCUAGACUACCUUCCACAAAUCUUCAGAAAAGGUUCAAUGGAACUACAUUAUAUUGAAAAUUUUACAAAUUAUUUCUAAGGAAUAGUAUUAAUAUUCAAAUCUAUUCAUAGGUCUUUUAAAAUUCACCAUUAAUUAAUCUUAAUAGGUAUUGUAAUACAAAAAAAAAUUCUGGAUCUUCUGAUGUAACACACACACAGAGAGAGAUUAAUAUUUUGGAAUGAUUCUUAUGAAACAUUUUUGAAAUUUUGAUUGUGGCAGGAACAUGCCAGGACAGGAAUCAACAGGAAUCUGAAUACUAUUCAUAUACCUUUCUCAAAAGAGCCUUGUGGGUUGGUCCUUGUGGUGUAACAUUUUCCACAUAUAUUCCUUGACUGAUUCCUGCCCUCAGUCUUUAGUGGCAACGGUUAAGGCAGAGCUUGCCAAACUGUGUGUUGUAACAUAUUAGUAUGUCAGCUGCAUUGUGUAGGUGUGUUGUGCGAAUGUAAAUGAGAAAUGACAAAAAUCUUGGAAAUGUAUGUUAUCUUACAAAUAUAUGUAUUUAAAAAAUGUAAAUGAAAAGUUUUCAUGAAAUCUGUUGUGUCCCCAUUCAUUUCAUUUUUUACAAUAUAUGUUCAUCUCUGUAUCUCUUAUAACGGGUUGGUUUCACCCAGGCAUGUCCAAACUUCGGCCCUCCAGGUGUUUUGGCCUUCAACUCUCACAAUUCCUAACAGCCUAACAGUUGAAGUCCAAAACACCUGGAGGGCUGAUGUUUGCCUAUGCCUGGAUUAACCUCUGGUUUGCCAGUAAAACUGAAUCACUGUUCUGCAAAAUGAUGCAUGUGUAAAAAAUGUGUCAUCAACAUUAAAUGUUUGGAAAGCUCUAAUUUAAGGGAUGGCCAAGCCCAGGGUCUGGGGCUACAAUGGGCCAUUGGCACCUGGUCCUUAGGGGACAUAUUAAUUAUGAUGGAAUAAAUAUUUUCCCCAUGCCUGAAUAGGAAAUUAUUUUCCUAAGGUAGCAGAGAAAGUUUACAUUUUAAUGACAAUUCUCUGAUUUAUCAUGUAAUACUAGGACAUGGACAAGCAUAUCUGUUUUGCAGUUAUGAAGUCCACACUCCUGACCAGCAGUGCAUUUAUUAUAAAUAAUCAUAUUAGUGGACAAAACCAUUUGUGAGAGUGUCAUUGGGCAUCACAGAUUGAUUCUAUUUCUAGAUUCCUUAGAAUGCCCUCAGUAAUACAGAUUAGUCACUAGCCACUGAAUGACAGAUUACAGUCUGAGCAGGAAUGGUGUCUUAACAGUCCAUUUCAUGGUGCAUAGCCCCCCAGUGGGGGUCAGAGGCUGAUGCCAUUUCUGUUAUUUCAUUUCUUUCCCUACAAUCCUGUUUAACAAAAGCAUGAAACUCAUUCCUUCCUCCAGUUACAGCUCUUCCCAAAUCAAAAGUCACAUGAAAUAUGACAAAUAAAGAUAAAUCAAUGUUUAUUGUUGAUUCCUAUUUUCCAUAUUACUCUACAAUACCUUAGUGAUUCCAUAAACUUUACUUCCUAUUGGUUAGCCCUAGCUUCUCCCUUUGUAUUAUAUCAAAUGCUCUACUUACUGACUUGGACUUGCAUAUUAGAGAUCUCAGUAUUUCCUUUACGUUAUUUGCCUUGUCUCGUUGGAAAUACAAGCUGACUUCUUGUUGAUCAUAUGCUGUGACUGGAACUGUCGUUGGCCAUCCCAGCUCCAGCUGUGGGGGAUCAACAUCGGACAUCAUUGGAAAAUAGGUCCCAGAUGUGACUCCAGAGAGAAGUGAAGCUCUGUCUGCACUGUCCUCUCUAUUGAGCCCUGAUUCACGGCCCUUCAUUGGAGACUCCGGGAUGCUUUGGCUGUGUUGGCUCAUGUAAUCCAUGUCUACCUUGGAAAGAAAGGGCAGCUCCUUCUCCUGAGCAAUGGCUUGUAGGUAGCCAGCUUCUCCCUGUUCCAGAAAGGCAUCCACAGCCAGUCUAGCAGUCUCACUGUGCUGCAACAUGGAAGGGCUGAUUUCCUUCUUCCAAGGCUUUUUGAGAUCUUCUAAUCGACUUUUCAGUUGCCCUGUAGUUCCUUGGGAGUUCCCAUAGCUUUUGUGAAGCCAGUUCAUUGUUUCUGUUGUCGGAUAGCCAAACAUCGUAAGACAAUAUUCCUUCCUGUGCUGCCUCUUUGUGGAGACUCUUAAGUUUUCUUCUCUCAGAUGAGUCUUCCCCUUUCCUCAAUAAAGAUCCCUGGUAGCAAACUGUCAGGAGCUCUUUCCUUCUUCCAAACUAAAGAUCCCCUGUAACUAAACGUCCAGAGUGCUUUCCUUUGUCUUCAGACUAAGCAUCCAUUUCUUCCAUCUUCUGACAAACUUCUCCAGUCGCUCCAACUGAAACAGAAAUAAUUCCUGAAAAAUUCAGCUGAAGUUGCCUUUUUCAUGGAAAUGUCAAGAAGGAUUUUAAUAUCUCCUUAACAGGAGCUGCUGCUUUUAACACACAGUUCCCCAAGCAAUAAUAAUUGGUUACGUUCCUACCCUUGCUAUCCCUAAACUAACUUCUCUCUUCCAAGCAAAGCCCUAGAACCUGUUCGGUCAGUUUUCGUGUCUGGGGAGGAAAUGGGACUGUUGAAACCUGUUCUAAGGUCCACGUGGAUUUGCAUGGUAAUUACAAAACCACAGAACUGAUAAAAUAAUGUAAUAACAUCAAAUUAAUCUGGAGAUUGGAAGGACAAUUCCUGCAGACAUCUUUAAUUUUUUUUGUCAGGUAUUUAAAAAAUAAGUACAUUUACAGAAGAGGCAUACAUAUGUUUGUAACUGUGGAUAGUGGAGCGAUUAUUCAGAUUUUGCAAUGCACAUAAUUAAAAAUGCAUGUUAUAGAUUAUUUAUAAAUUCAUACAAUUUAUCUAUGCAUACAGUCAUUUCAUAUAUUUAUCUAUAGUUAGAAAUCUACCACUAAUUUCAUUUCUCUCUACUGCUUAUUGCAUUGCUGAAUAUUCUAUUUCUAUGCACAUAAUAAAAGUGAAAAUACUGUAUGUAUGUGUGUGGUUGGGGUGUCCACUUACACAGACAGGCUCCCACUUCUACAAAUAGCUAUUGCUCCCACUGCUCAGGAGCCACCACUGGCCCUCCUUCCAAUGACAUUUCAGGUUAUAGCAAGUGCCAUGAACAUGUCCAAGAGCCCUGGCAGUGUUCUCCACAAACACCAUACUACCAACCACCCAAGUGAAGGCUUUCAUAUGGGGACAAUUUCAUCCUAGAUUUUCUGUUUUUCCUCCACCACAGACAUCCCAGCGUUCCUUACUCUCUCCAUUGGUGUGGAAUUUGCAUGACUCCACCCACUGCCUCUCCCCUAACCCUUUCCUAUUAUUUUCUAUGGUACACAGCAAACAGAGGAAUUGAUCAGUAACUGAACAUUCUGGAGAGGUUUGGGGAUAAUUCACCAUGAUUUAUAGGAGUUGUAGGGAGUGGGAUGUAUAGUUCACCUGCAAUCAAUGAGCACUGUGAACUCCAUCAGCAAUGGAAUUGGACCAAACUUGGCACACAGAGCCCUCAUAACCAGCAAAACGUGCUGGAGAUCUUUAUGGAAAAUUCACUUUGAUUUGUAGUUCACCUACAUCCAGAGAGCACAGUGAACCCAAACACCAAUGGAUCUGGACCAAACUUGGCAAACAUACCUUAUAUGCUGAAAUUUGAUUACUGGAAGGGUUUGGGGGGAACUGACCUUCCUUUCUGGGAGUUGUAGUUCACCCACAACCAGGGAAACUGUGACCUCCACCCAUGAUGGACCUGGACCAUACUUGGCACAUAGAAACCCCAUGACUAACUCAACCUACUGGAGGGGUUUGAGGGGACUGACUCACCAUAGUGAGAGUUGUAGUUUACUCUGCAGCCAGAGAGCACACUGACCCUCACCCAUGAUGCAUCUAGAGCAAACUUGGCCAACAUAACAAACUUUAAGUACUGAUGGAGUUUCUCGGGGUUAACCUGGCAUGAUGUCAGUUGUAGUUCACCCACAACCUUAUGCAUUUUGUACAAUUUAAAAAUUGACUUUUUCAAAUAACCCAGGCAAUGCCGGGUAUCCAAGCUAGUAUGAAAUAUAAUAAAGCUUAAAAUAUGCACCUUAAUUAAAUUCCUAAAUUGUGAGCAACAGAAUUAUGUCAUAUUCCUAUCCUCAGGCAUAAUAAAUCUAUAAAAUUGUUUUUAAAGUAUUAUUUGUAUAUUUUGGAAUGCUAAAAGGGUUGAGGCUCUGUGGCUGAGGAGGGAUGGAAUCUGCUUUCUCUUAUCCUAUUCCAGCACUCAAACCACAGCACCAUGUUGGCUCUUUGUGACAUUCAAGUAAUCCUUGUUGCUAAUUAAAAUCUAUUCUUACUACAUUUUUAUAAAAGUAAUUGUAUGAUUCAUAAGUAAAAACAAAAAUCCGUUUUAGAUAUCUUUUAUUAAGAUCAUUAUAAAGAACUUAUCUAAAACUGAUAUUUUGUUUUUCACCUAUGCAUCAUACGAGUAUUCUGAUUUAUUUUUUAGCACCAGUGUUUUGGUUAGGAACAACAGUCACCCAAAUCAUAGCUCUGCAAUAAUAUUCGUAGUCUAUGUGUUGUCGAAGGCUUUCAUGGCCAAAAUCACAGGGUUGUUGUGUGUUUUCCGAGCUGUAUGGCCAUGUUCCAGAAGCAUUCUCUCCUGACGUUUCGCCCACAUCUAUGGCAGUCAUAUCUCACAACCUCUAGGAUGCCUGCCAUAGAUGUGGGUGAAACCUCAAGAAAGAAUGCUUCUGGGACAUGGCCAUACAGCCUGGAAAACACACAACUUGGAUCAAUUAUCAUUAUUCUACCAUUGUUUGCUUACUGGGUGUGACAAUACCACCCUGCCAUUCAUUAUCUUGGAAACGAAAGGAAAAUAUAGCCAUAUAGGCGUAGACUACAGAGCAAUCUGUGAGGAGGUGUAAAAGUCAAGUUUAUUAUCUUAUUUUAUAUUACUCUGGCAAUCAGUGCAGAUGAUCUGCAUGUUGCAGAUAGUGCAAUAUUCUAUGUAGAAGUGCAGAUCAGAAGAAAAUGUUUCUAUGAAUCAGUAGUUGCAAUCUUCAUCUAAUAAAUUGUUUAUCAGUCUGAAAUCUAACAUUGCAUCCUCUGCUCAUUUUGCUCACAUGCUUUGAUAAAAGACUUUUCAGGUUUUGUUUCCCAUUACGUUAGCAUUAGAAAAAAGGUAAUCUAUAUUCUAACUACAAAUGCACUCUUACAUUCAGGAACACGUUCUUUUUUAUUUUUGGUAGUUCCAUGUGUACUAGGCAAACUGUGGAAUUCAAAAGAGGUUCUAAUGUUGAAGUGUAAUCCACCAGAAGCUCCUAGGAUCUCAUCAGAUGCAGCCCCUUACCCCCAUUUCUACACAAUUUUGAGUAGGUUUCCAGACAGAGUCCCAUGGAGCCCAUCACACAACACAAAACUACUUCUGCUGAUCACCCAAGGGACUCCAUCUGUAAACUGUUUCAAAACUGUGUCGAAUGGAGGAUUGUGGAAUCAGGGAGCAAUUGUCUUACAAUCUCCCUGAUUUGCACAGAAAUGGUUGGAAGUGCUUAAUUUAACAUGUGAUGGGAUCCGACAGAUUCACCCAUGGUAGAUUGCUGCACCGGAGCCCCCGUGGCGCAUUGGGAUAAACCGCUGAGCUGCUGAACUUGCUGACCGAAAAGUUGGCAGUUUGAAACCGGGGAGUGGGGUGAGCUCCCGCUGUCAACCCCAGCUUCUGCCAACCUAGCAGUUUGAAAACACGGAAAUCUUGGCUCUCGCUGUGUCUUAUCGUGGACCUGUUUUGGAUGACUGCACCCUCUUCGGACCUUGGAUCGGAAUUUGACCUUGCUACUGCCUUCGCCCUGUGAUUGAUGACUACUAUCGGCUUUUGACUCCUGGCUUGCUCUUUGGACACCGCUGUUAUCUCCUGACCUGACCUUGGAAUCCUGGAUGACGUCUUUUCACCAUCCUUUUGGAGCCUUCGGCUUUAUCCACAUUGUGGAAGCAGUCUACUGCAUUCUUAGUUUGUUUGUUUGUUUCCUGACCAAUUUGGUGUUUUCUUUUGGGAACUGUUCCUUUGAAAACUACAGAGCCGGCUAGCAGAGCUUGGACUCAGAAAGUGCAGUUUGCACUAAGUUUGUUUAGCUUUGUUUUUACCUGCUUGUGUUGCUGAAUUACAUUUUUGUUUGAACUGCUCUUGAAGCACUGAUAGUGAAGUGUUUCAAGGUUUUUUCUGUGUUAACAUUACUUUUUGGCUUAUCUGCUGAAUAAACUAUUUUUGUUCGCUAA